GGGAAAGGCAAGUUGCUUGAACCAUGGGGUGGAAGUAUUCUGGGGAAGCAGCACCUAGCAGGAGGGCUUGGGCAGCUGCCACCAGCCUUGAGAGGGGUUCACUCAGCUGUACGGCCUGACCCAGGUAAUGAAGCACUUUGGAGACAAGGCAAGGGAAAGAGCUGUUUUCCAGUGGCCUCCCAGACCAGGAGUUGCACAGCUUUUGGACACAUGCUGGCCUAGUGCAGCGUGCCGGGGAGAUGGGCUGCGCAAAGCCUCCUGAUGACUUGGUGGAGGAGAACAGCUACAGGAGAGGAGCAGGUCUUGUCCACUUCCCAGGCAGCCUUUGGGCUGGCUCACAGCUGUGCUUAUCCUAGAAUCCUAGAAUUGUAGAAUAUCCUGAGUUGGAAGGGAUCCAUAAGGAUCAUCCAGUCCAACUCCUGGCACCACACAGGUCUACCCAAAAGUUUAGACCAAUUUUAGAUCCUGCCAAGAGAGGGCCAGCUCUCUGCUCUGAAGCAGCCACAGCAGGAAAAGGCUGCAUCUGCAGAUGAUUGGAAACAUACCUGCAAGUCCCAGGUUGUUCAUAUCCAAAGUCUUGGAAGUUCAGUUCUGCACCAAACCCUUUGAAGUUCAUUCCCAUCUCUGCAAACGAGUGAUGGAAAUGACAGAGCAUCUGAAACUUGUUAAGAACCUAACGCAAGGACCCCCGUUUAACGUAGUGGCAUUUGGAUCAGGCCCUCGCAGUGAACUCUCCUGAAGGGGGCAGUCUAUCAGGUUUUGCUCAGGCCAGAAGGAUGAGGCUCUGUGUUUGUCAUUAGGACUGGGUACACACAGUUCUGUGGAUUUUGUACUUUUACAGCUGCUCUGCGAUAAUAUUGCAGUUUGCUACUGCUGUUUCGCUGUGCAAAUGGUUGUAAAGCAAGAAGGUUACGGGAGGACGCUUGUGUGAAGCUCUGAACGCCGGCUGCAGUGGCUUCUCGGUACUUGGUUGUCUUCCAGAUCUCUGGGGUUGGGCUUCACCUGUGCCAAAGAAGUGUGUCGUCUAGUGGUUCCCAUGCUUUCCGGAGCCAAGCCUCAUGUUCGAACCCUGGCAGUGUCCCAUGCUUCCUUGGAUCCUGCUCCAACUGGAUCAGGGCUCAGAGUCCUGGUUUGCCACUUGCACAUGUAUGCGUGCACCUGCGCUUUGAUGUGAAGUGUUAGCAAGUACAGUUUGGCGUGGUAAUGCAAAAUCUGUCAGAGCAGGUUGCCCACCUGAAGUUGGUUCCUCAAAUGUAGGGCAACCACAUUUCUGCUGUGAUUUCUGGGAUUCUAGAAAUCCUGUUGCAAUUUAGAAAGAAGUUGUACAGUCUCCAAAUCUGCCUCUCCUUCCAGACUGGGAGCUGGACUGGUUUGUAAAGUGUAGCCUCUAUACCCUGCUUCCAUUUGUGAUUGUUCAGAAUAUUGGGGCACAGGCAAAGCACCACGAUGGUUUUCUGCACCCUUUGAUGCACUAAUGCACUCAGGAAGCUGCUUGGGCUCUCUCAGAUAGAGCAAACCUUACUCAGACAGAACUGGUGAGCAAACCAUUUUCUUUUUUUUUUCUUUUUUUCUUUUUUUUAAAUGAAGUUCUUCAGAUCAGCUUUCAAUCUAGUACUUUGAACGUGUGCUUAUUUCCCAUUGCUGUACAGUCAGAUGUGCAUGUGCUUCAGGGUCUCUUAAAUGGGGGUAUUUUCCACAACCAGGGCCAAAUUUUGAUGUUUUAUCACAAUUUUGCAAGAAUUUCAGCAGGAUGCAGUUUUGUUUCCCUUUCUGUAAGUUGUGCCAUUUGUCAGAUGUGGUAUGUACAGUAUCUAGGAAAUAUUUUUGCCUAGUUUAUAAAGGCAGUUGUUAGUCAGAUGGGCAAAAAUUUAAAAAGGUCUCUGCCACAGCUUGGAAAAUCGGAAAAUUACGUUAAAAUAGUCUUUGGUAAGUGCGUCUGUUUGGUAAAAAAUGCCUGCUGGAAAUCUUCCACUCACAAGACUUUUACGAUGGUAAAUGUAAUUUCUGCCAAAAGGAAGAAAUGUUGACUUUGCCUGAAUUUUACAAGUUUAUCAUGAGAAAUAUCUCCAUGUUUCAGAUCA